UGGGGAAUAUUGGACAAUGGGGGCAACCCUGAUCCAGCCAUGCCGCGUGAAUGAUGAAGGUCUUUGGAUUGUAAAAUUCUUUCGCUAGGGAAGAUAAUGACGGUACCUAGUAAAGAAGCUCCGGCUAACUCCGUGCCAGCAGGCGCGGUAUACGGUGGGGGCUAGCGUUGUUCGGAAUUACUGGCCGUCAAGCGCGCGUAGGCGGAUUGUUAAGUUAGGGGUGAAAUCCCGGGGCCCAACCCCGGAACUGCCCUUGAUACUCGCAGUCUUGAGGACGGAAGAGGCAAGUGGAAUUCCGAGUGUAGAGGUGAAAUUCGUAGAUAUUCGGAGGAACACCAGUGGCGAAGGCGACUUGCUUGUCCGUUUCUGACGCUGAGGCGCGAAAGCGUGGGGAGCAAACAGGAUUAGAUACCCGUGUAGUCC
rnacentral:rRNA from 1 species